UGGGGAAUUUUGGACAAUGGGCGAAAGCCUGAUCCAGCAAUGCCGCGUGUGUGAAGAAGGCCUUCGGGUUGUAAAGCACUUUUGUCCGGAAAGAAAUCCUUGGCUCUAAUACAGUCGGGGGAUGACGGUACCGGAAGAAUAAGCACCGGCUAACUACGUGCCAGCAGCCGCGGUAAUACGUAGGGUGCAAGCGUUAAUCGAAGUUACUGGGCGUAAAGCGUGCGCAGGCGGUUUGCUAGGACCGAUGUGAAAUCCCCGGGCUCAACCUGGGAACUGCAUUGGUGACUGGCAGGCUAGAGUAUGGCAGAGGGGGGUAGAAUUCCACGUGUAGCAGUGAAAUGCGUAGAGAUGUGGAGGAAUACCGAUGGCGAAGGCAGCCCCCUGGGGCCAAUACUGACGCCUAUGCACGAAGAGCGUGGGGGAGCAAACAGGAUUAGAUACCCUGGGUAGUCCACGCCCUAAAACGAUGUCAACUAGUUGUUGGGGGAUUCAUUUCCUUAGUAACGUAGCUAACGCGUGAAGUUGACCGCCUGGGGAGUACGGUCGCAAGAUUAAAACUCAAAUGAAUUGACGGGGUCAUAGCUGUUUCCU
rnacentral:rRNA from 1 species